GCUGUCUGCAGGGGUGGGAGAGCAGGAAGAGAGUUAGUUGCUAUUGUGCUUUGUCUCUGCUUGAGACAAAGCUUUCUUAACCAGACCGUCUCUCAAAGAGCAGCAAUUUGUUCAGGCUAAACUCUCUUCAGUGAGCCUUAUCCAGGGAGUCCGCAAACACAAAGCCUGAGAUGAUGCUUUUUAUGAACUGGCCAGUGCUGCUUUCCUCUGUUCUGUUGCUCAGCUGAUUUUUUCCCCCCCUCUUUCAGUCUGCAUGUUUCUUUUUUAAAAAAAGAAACAAGAAAAUACAAAAGGAAACCAUGUUGUCUGAUACUUCCUGGCUUGUUGCUUUGCAAUAUGUUGGUGCUACCUAACUUAAAGGUAAAAACUUGCAAAGCUGGUUGUGACAUUCUGCCACAUAGUCCAGGAAUCCUCAGUGCUAUCAGUACUAUGUUCUUUCAACCUCCUUGAUUACGCUUUGGAUUUAAUUUCUUCCUAAGUCUUUCAGGACACACAGGGUGAAACAAGAAGAAACCAUUUGACAUCACUUACAUCGGCAUGCAUACAAGAAGCUACACAAAAAAAGAGUCCUCUAGUUAACACUAUAUGCAGAAUUUGGUGGACCUUACAGAGAUACCUGGUUCUAAAAUCAGAUGAAAUGCAAGAACCCCAGAUACUUGACAACUGCCAGCUUUGGCAUCAAGACAGAAAACCUGACUCCAAGAAAGAAGCGUGUAACACUGAGACAUGAGCAGCAGGACAUGCAAUUUCCAUGUGUACUGCUACACAAGUCCCCUGAGGGUCAUCUCAGCUACAGAAGACGUAUCUGUCAUCUCCUCUAUGAAAAAAAGCUUCAGUGGACAACCUGGAUUAAUUCCAAGACUCUCAGGCCCCUGGGGGAAGGCCAGCGCUAUCAGCUUUAGAAACGCAGACACAAAAUUAGAAGAGAUGGAUUAAAAGACUCAGGUCAUCCAGAACAACUAGAGAGAAGCAAGAGAAAAAAGAUGGAAAAAAUAGAACAACAGGAAGAUAGAAGGGAAAAAAAUCAAAUGGAAAUGAAGUGGACAAAGACUCACCUCAGAUGAAAAAGAUCAUAGCUCUACCCAGGGAAGAUGAAGACCGUUUUUAUUGAAUGGCUGCGUCACGUCCAUGCCUUAAAAAGGCAUAAAUUGCUACAGACUGGUUCAAAAAACAGCAUGGAUUUGUGUGUUACGUCUGAAACUGCUGAGCUACAACGUGCUAUUCUCACUGUGUUUUCACUUGCAAUCAUGACAGUAGAAAGCAAGAGAGAAAACACCACUGCACAAGGGCUGAAUGCAGUUCCUGUUCUGCCACCAGCUUUGAUCAAAUCACGUCAUCACCUCUCCACCCUUUCCACAAAACAGGGACAAGAACUGUUCCAUUUUCUCUGCUCCUACUCAGCUUGCCUCCUCAGGACAGGGCCUAUCUUUUGAGCUAUACCCAGCUAAGAGAUCCCCAGUUUUAAGCCAGGCACCCUGAAGCUCUCUAAAACAAAUGACAGGAGCGCAACAUCACCUUCAUUUAAGAAGCUCCAUUCCCACCUCCACUGAAAUGCUGGAGGCAACCCACCAUAACUGUUGCCUUCCCAGGUCUCACUACAACGCUGACAGCAUCUUGAACCACGUUGCUGAUCAGCAGCUCAGAAGAAUGAUACAAGAUCCAGAUACCCUGAGCCAAGACAUCUUAAGUUUUAAUCUAAUUCAGCAUGCUUUCCUCCAAAUGCUGGAUAAGAGCCAAAGUUAUUAGUGCGUUGCAGAAAUGCCCAGGGGAUAAAUUUAAUGACUGCAAUAUUGCCUUUAAUAACAAUUUUAAUUAUUACAGCCAUUCCAAGUCCGCAGUCAUUUCUGUCCUACAAAUUCCAAUGAUAUUAAAUUACUGUGGAGUCCAGAAGACACUUGGGAACACGCUCUGUACAGAAUGAAGCUAUUCAUCUCUUCAGCUCACUGGGAACCACCCCCUGCUGAUAUUCUGCCUGUGCUCAGUUUUCACUGAAGUGUUUACACAGCCUCUCACAUCACUGAGAUCUGUGCCAGGGAAACAGCAUCAUCCAUGCUUUACAGAUAAAAGUUUAACACCUAAACAACUCACCUAGAGAAAUUCAAACAAGCUGCUUUUAAUCUGCAGUAGCAGUUUGAGACCCUGCAGAAGUUGUAGCCCCCUCUACCAGCCACAGCUAACACACAGAGUGAGACAGAGCCCUGCACGCUGCAGAAAAUACUGAAAGAAAUGAGCAGAAUGCACAGAGAUGGUUACCCUGCGAGGCAGCAGGCCACUCAUACUGUGUUAACUGGACCAUCCCACAUCUUUAGAGAGACAGUGGGUACAAACCCACGCUUCCUCCAGGAUGUAUAAAAAAAGGCACAGAGAUCCUGUAGAAACUCCAGGUAAAACUGACAUCAGAGCAAGAAAUUGUAGAUUCUCUAAUCCUCCCUCACAAAGCUUUCCUGAAGCACUUCCAGCACAGGAUAAAGGAUGUUCUGACAGAUGGCGGGCGGAUGCUGACUGCUCCUGCAUGAAUCAGGCUAAGACAAGGACACUGUCUGAGGGAUCAGGAUCACACAAACCUAUUUCAAGAACUGUCUUUACCAAAAAUUUCCAUGGGCAAUCCUAUGUUGCCAUGUGAAGGCACAGUCUGCACAAAAACAGCUGCAAGCCUAAGGCCUCAGCUUAUCUGGUAAAUCAUGCUCUUUUUAAAGCUAAAAUUCUACUCAUUCAUUAACGGAAUAAAUCCGUAAAUAAAUUCAUAUAAAUAAAAUCAUAAACAUUUUUAAAAAACAUUAGGAAACAAACAGAUCAAACAACAGUCAGAUUCAACUCAAUGUGACACACUGACGUUUCUCAUAUGUGACACUGCAUAAAUAACACCUUGAAGAGGCUGCUCCAGUAAACAACCACGCAUCCCCUCGCCUGUCCAGUAAUGAAAUACCCAACAGCUGUCACUCAGCUCCAGCAUUAGCUCUGGCUUUCAUUACAAGCAGACACAGACAGGAGGAAGGCUGGGCUAUUAAAGCUGCCUUCAGUGCACACACACAGCUAGGCGAUAGCGCACGCUUGUUCUUUUAAUGUGUCUGAGUUAGCAGUCCAAGUGGUGAACUACACAGGACAAAACCCGGCGAGUUUUGCUUUGCUAUCCUGCUUACAGAGCCUGACUUAUCUUCCAAUUACUAAGCGUAUGAUAUUCAGCAAGUGGAUAAAAGAUUAUUAAAAAAAAGCAAAAUUGAGCUGUUCAGUCUUUAAAAUUAAGGAAGAGAG